CAUUUGCCUCCAGCAUACGCUGCUCACAAACCCUGCACCUAUAGGCUCGCAAUAUUCCCACCCGGAAUAUUCAGCUCGACCUGGAGCCGGAGCUCCAGCAGAGGAUGGCUCGAAUCUCUUGACCCAAAUAUACGAGGUCAUCUCUUAUCAUAGACAACAACUUGAUUGUCCUCGGAGCCACAGCUAAGCAGGCCGCCGCCUCUCCAAACGGAUAACCCGACGAAUCUCCUGGCAUUGACGUGUUCCGUGUACGUCCGAAUAAGCCGAUGAUCUGCAGUGUGCCACGUCUUCAAGCACCCAUCAAUUUAAAAAAAAGGGUACAAACUGCCGGUGAAGAGAGCGGAUGGCAGGGGAAGAUGGCGUGGAGAGGGAGAAAGGCAAAAAAAAAAAAGGAAACGUGGAGGCCGCGCCGGACGUGGUGGUCGGCGACGGAGGUGGUGGUGGGUUGGGAUGGGGGAGGAAGAAGAAAAAAAAGGGAAGGGAAUUUUUUUUUUUUUUUUUGUGUUUUGGGUAUUUUGAAGUGUGUAGGUAAAAAAUUUUGAGAAGUUUUUUGGGAUCCUGUAGCAAAAGUUGUUAAAAAACUAGUAGGUAAAAAACUUGCUUAAAAACCUGACUUCCAAACAGGCCCGAGAUAGAGUUUAAAAACAUGCAACAAGAAAUACGGUUUCUUUUAUUUGGUUUUUAAAUAAAUGGAUAUCUAUGAUUUUUGUGGAUAAUUCAUAUAAAUUCAUUUUUGUGGACAAUUUCAAGUUAACUAUUAUAUUUUACAUAUAUGAUAUAUGUCUAACCCCACUUAUAUAUAUUCUGUUAGUGUAUAUAAAAUUUAUAUAUCUCUUUUCUUAUAAUUGGUAUUAUUUUUUAGUACUAUUAAACUGAACUGGCUCAAUGAUUUGCAGCGGUCAUAGAAGGAGGAGCCAUAGCAAAGGUGCCAGCCUCAAGAAAACCUACCAGCAGAAGCUGAUGCAUUAAUAAUAGAGGCAGAGGCAAAUGGAGUUGAGGGUGACCAAUUGCCCUCCCGACUUUGAGAAAUUUUUGUUUUAGGCAUAGAACUUUUGAAAAUUUUUUAAGUUGUCCUUUUUUGCACCCUUG
rnacentral:lncRNA from 1 species